rnacentral:rRNA from 1 species
AGAUUGAACGCUGGCGGCAUGCCUUACACAUGCAAGUCGAACGGCAGCACGGGAGCAAUCCUGGUGGCGAGUGGCGAACGGGUGAGUAAUACAUCGGAACGUGCCCAAUCGUGGGGGAUAACGCAGCGAAAGCUGUGCUAAUACCGCAUAAGAUCUACGGAUGAAAGCAGGGGAUCGCAAGACCUUGCGCGAAUGGAGCGGCCGAUGGCAGAUUAGGUAGUUGGUGGGUAAAGGCUCACCAAGCCUUCGAUCUGUAGCUGGUCUGAGAGGACGACCAGCCACACGUGGGACUGACGACGACGGCCCAGACCUCCGUACGGGGAGCAGGCAGGUAGGGUAAUUUGGAC